UACGAAGGGGACUAGCGUUGUUCGGAAUUACUGGGCGUAAAGCGCACGUAGGCGGAUUUGUUAGUCAGGGGUGAAAUCCCGGGGCUUAACCUCGGAACUGCCUUUGAUACUGCAAGUCUCGAGUCCGAUAGAGGUGGGUGGAAUUCCUAGUGUAGAGGUGAAAUUCGUAGAUAUUAGGAAGAACACCGGUGGCGAAGGCGGCCCACUGGAUCGGUACUGACGCUGAGGUGCGAAAGCGUGGGGAGCAAACAGG
rnacentral:rRNA from 1 species